rnacentral:rRNA from 1 species
CCUACGGGAGGCAGCAGUGGGGAAUAUUGCACAAUGGGGGAAACCCUGAUGCAGCGACGCCGCGUGAGUGAUGAAGUAUUUCGGUAUGUAAACCUCUUUCAAUAGGGAAGAAAAUGACGGUACCUGAUUAAUAAGCCCCGUCUAACUCCGUGCCAGCAGCCGCGGUAAUACGUAGGGGGCAACCGUUAUCCGGAUUUACUGGGUGUAAAGGGAGCGUAGACGGCAGCACAGGUCCGGAGUGAAAUGCCGGGGCUUAACCCUGGAACUGCUUUUGAAACUGUGCUGCUAGAGUGCAGGAGAGGUAGGUGGAAUUCGUAGUGUAGCAGUGAAAUGCGUAGAUAUUAGGAGGAACACCAGUGGCGAAGGCGGCUUACUAGACUGUAACUGACGUUGAGGCGCGAAAGCGUGGGGAGCAAACAGGAUUAGAUACCCCGGUAGUC